AACGAACGCUGGCGGCAGGCCUAACACAUGCAAGUCGAACGCUCCGCAAGGGGAGUGGCGCACGGGUGAGUAACACGUGGGAACCUACCUUCUGGUACGGAACAACCAAGGGAAACUUUGGCUAAGACCGUAUACGACCUCCGGGUGAAAGAUUGAUCGCCGGAAGAGGGGCCCGCGUCCGAUUAGGUAGUUGGUGAGGUAACGGCUCACCAAGCCUUCGAUCGGUAGCUGGUCUGAGAGGAUGACCAGCCACACUGGGACUGAGACACGGCCCAGACUCCUACGGGAGGCAGCAGUGGGGAAUAUUGGACAAUGGGCGCAAGCCUGACCGAGCGACGCCGCGUGUGCGAUGAAGGCCUCGGUUGUUAAG
rnacentral:rRNA from 1 species